GUGUUAUUGACAAAACCAUUUUAUUGAGUACCCGCCGAUGACAUGAACUUUUACAAAGUCGUCAUCUGCUCACGUAGUAAUAUUGAUUAUUGUGCUCUUGUUUAUAUUGAAAAACCAUUUUAUUGUACUCGUGUUAUUGAUACAUCUCGCUUGAUAAUGACUAAAACUUUUGUGCACUGAACCGAAGAUAUGAUACAAAGUCGUCAUCGUCUCGCGCAGUUAUACGGCCUUCUUCGUAUUGCACUCCGCUCGUGUUAUUGACUGCAACCAUUUUAUUGAGUACUCGUGUUAUUUACAAAACCAUUUAUGGACAACAGCGGAACUAACCGUAGAUAACCGACUUUCGCCCUAUGCUCGCAAUGCAUUACAUCGAUACGUCAUAAAUCUGUCAUCAAAUGUGCUUUUCCCGACAUAUACCUACCUCUGGUCCUGACAAUGCAGCUACUGAUUGAAAAUCAGUAGAUGCAAAAAUACAAAUGUUGAAUUGUUAUUGUCAACUGUCAAGUUCAGUUAUUUUUAGACAAUAUGGUGUUAGCCAAUGAGAAUGCAAAAUUGACCGACCCAGACCAGGAAUUUCUCGUCUCUCCCCUCGUCCUCACAUGAAAGCCCUGGGAACGAGGUUGUAAAGACCUUAAAUACGAGAUAAAAGCAACCUACUAUUUUAA